rnacentral:rRNA from 1 species
UACGAAGGGGGCGAGCGUUGUUCGGAAUUACUGGGCGUAAAGCGUGCGUAGACGGUUAUGUAAGUCAGAUGUGAAAGCCCCGGGCUCAACCUGGGAAUUGCAUUUGAGACUGCAUAGCUAGGGUGCGGAAGAGGGAAGCGGAAUUUCCGGUGUAGCGGUGAAAUGCGUAGAUAUCGGAAGGAACACCAGUGGCGAAAGCGGCUUCCUGGUCCAGCACCGACGUUCAGGCACGAAAGCGUGGGGAGCAAACAGG